rnacentral:rRNA from 1 species
GACGAACGCUGGCGGCGUGCCUAAUACAUGCAAGUUGAGCGCUGAAGGUUGGUACUUGUACCGACUGGAUGAGCAGCGAACGGGUGAGUAACGCGUGGGGAAUCUGCCUUUGAGCGGGGGACAACAUUUGGAAACGAAUGCUAAUACCGCAUAAAAACUUUAAACACAAGUUUUAAGUUUGAAAGAUGCAAUUGCAUCACUCAAAGAUGAUCCCGCGUUGUAUUAGCUAGUUGGUGAGGUAAAGGCUCACCAAGGCGAUGAUACGUAACCGACCAGAGAGGGUGAUCGGCCACAUUGGGCCUGGAACACGGCCCAAACCCCUGCGGGAGGCAGCAGUAGGGAAUCUUCGGCAAUGGACGAAAUUCUGACCGAUCAACGCCGCGGGAGUGCAGAAGGUUUUCGGGUCGUAAAACUCUGUUAGUAGUGAAGAACGUAGGUGAGAGUUAAACGCGCAUCUAGUGACGGUAACGACCCAGAAAGGGACGGCUAACUACGUG